rnacentral:rRNA from 1 species
AGAAUCAACGCUGGCGGCGUGCCUAACACAUGCAAGUCGAACGAGAAAGGGGUAGCAAUACCCUGAGUAAAGUGGCGCACGGGUGAGUAACACGUGACUAACCUACCCUUGAGUGGGGGAUAACUGAGGGAAACCUUAGCUAAUACCGCAUAAUACCCACGGGUCAAAGGAGCAAUUCGCUCGAGGAGGGGGUCGCGGCCGAUUAGUUAGUUGGCGGGGUAAUGGCCCACCAAGACGAUGAUCGGUAUCCGGCCUGAGAGGGCGCACGGACACACUGGAACUGAAACACGGUCCAGACUCCUACGGGAGGCAGCAGUGGGGAAUUUUGCGCAAUGGGGAAACCCUGACGCAGCAACGCCGCGUGGAGGAUGAAGUCCUUCGGGACGUAAACUCCUUUCGAUCGGGACGAUUAUGACGGUACCGGAAGAAGAAGCCCGGCUAACUUCGCGCCAGCAGCCGC